UGACUGAUAUAUAUAUGUAUAUAUAUACAUAAACGACCUUACAAGUUUUGUUGACCAAACACAUCAUAUUGGCCAUCAUGACACGUACAGACAAUCAGUCAGUCUUUCGUAGUCUGUCGAACGACAUUGUGGUAGAUAUAAUUCUUUUAACAAAGCGUGUGUGAAUAAGUUAUAUUCUUCCAACAUUGCGUGUUGCUAGUAUUAAUUUGUUGCAGUUAAUUGUUAAAAAAAUAUACUUUUUAUCAAUAUACAAUAUACUUUGGCAGUUAAAUACUGUUUUGAUAUAAACGAUCUAAAAUAAAUAUUUUCUUUCCGACAUGAUGAUAUUUCUAAAACUAUUAUUAAUAAGUAGCGGAUUAAUGUUUAUUCCUGAGACUGCUUCUAUUCGUAAUGAAUCAUUUUUAUGCUAUCCACCAUCAAAAUGUAUAAAAUCAAUCCAUUACGAUAUCAAGCUUAUAACAUAUAUUGAAGGACAUAUUUUCUAUGGAGAAUACAAUAUCAGCAUAAGCAUACUUAACCUAACGAAAAACAUAUAUUUACAAUCAGAAAAAUUAAAUAUUCAAGAUAUAGUUUUAUUUAGAAGUGCAAAAAAAUAUCAUGAGUAUGAUAAAGAUACAUUUUAUGAAUCGACAUAUAAUAUUAAAAAAGACAGAAUUGAUAUUCUAUUUACGGAUGAGUUAUCACCAGGAAAUUACACUUUAAAUAUAAAAUAUUUUGGUAUUGCUGAUAAAGUUUUUAAAAUUUACGACAUAAAAGGAAAAAUUGCUUGGGUAGCUGCUAUUCAUUUCCAUAUAAUAUGCCCUCGACGAAAGCUUUCAUGCUGGGAUGAACAGAAUUUAUUGUUAGAAGCAACCUUUAACAUAUCUAUAGGAUGUAAUCAAUGUACGGCUUUAUCAAAUAUGCCAUUGCAAAAUGAGAAAGAAAAUGAGUACAAAGUGUUAUGGACACACUUCGC